rnacentral:rRNA from 1 species
GACGAACGCUGGCGGCGUGCUUAACACAUGCAAGUCGAACGGAAAGGCCCUGCUUUUGUGGGGUGCUCGAGUGGCGAACGGGUGAGUAACACGUGAGUAACCUGCCCUUGACUUUGGGAUAACUUCAGGAAACUGGGGCUAUUACCGGAUAGGAGCUCCUGCUGCAGGGUGGGGGUUGGAAAGUUUCGGCGGUUGGGGAUGGACUCGCGGCUUAUCAGCUUGUUGGUGGGGUAGUGGCUUACCAAGGCUUUGACGGGUAGCCGGCCUGAGAGGGUGACCGGCCACAUUGGGACUGAGAUACGGCCCAGACUCCUACGGGAGGCAGCAGUGGGGAAUAUUGCACAAUGGGCGGAAGCCUGAUGCAGCAACGCCGCGUGCGGGAUGACGGCCUUCGGGUUGUAAACCGCUUUCGCCUGUGAUGAAGCGUGAGUGACGGUAAUGGGUAAAGAAGCACCGGCUAACUACGUG